GAUGAACGCUGGCGGCGUGCCUAAUACAUGCAAGUCGAGCGAACAGACGAGGAGCUUGCUCCUCUGACGUUAGCGGCGGACGGGUGAGUAACACGUGGAUAACCUACCUAUAAGACUGGGAUAACUUCGGGAAACCGGAGCUAAUACCGGAUAAUAUAUUGAACCGCAUGGUUCAAUAGUGAAAGACGGUUUUGCUGUCACUUAUAGAUGGAUCCGCGCCGCAUUAGCUAGUUGGUAAGGUAACGGCUUACCAAGGCAACGAUGCGUAGCCGACCUGAGAGGGUGAUCGGCCACACUGGAACUGAGACACGGUCCAGACUCCUACGGGAGGCAGCAGUAGGGAAUCUUCCGCAAUGGGCGAAAGCCUGACGGAGCAACGCCGCGUGAGUGAUGAAGGUCUUCGGAUCGUAAAACUCUGUUAGUAGGGAAGAACAAAUGUGUAAGUAACUAUGCACGUCUUGACGGUACCUAAACAGAAAGCCACGGCUAACUACGUG
rnacentral:rRNA from 1 species